rnacentral:rRNA from 1 species
CCUACGGGAGGCAGCAGUGGGGAAUAUUGCACAAUGGGGGAAACCCUGAUGCAGCGACGCCGCGUGAGUGAAGAAGUAUUUCGGUAUGUAAAGCUCUAUCAGCAGGGGAGAAAAUGACGGUACCUGACUAAGAAUCCCCGGCUAACUACGUGCCAGCAGCCGCGGUAAUACGUAGGGGGCAAGCGUUAUCCGGAUUUACUGGGUGUAAAGGGAGCGUAGACGGCAGCACAAGUCUGGAGUGAAAUGCCGGGGCUUAACCCCGGAACUGCCUUGGAAACUGUGCAGCUAGAGUGCAGGAGAGGUAAGUGGAAUUCCUAGUGUAGCGGUGAAAUGCGUAGAUAUGAGGAGGAACACCAGUGGCGAAGGCGGCUUACUGGACUGUAACUGACGUUGAGGCUCGAAAGCGUGGGGAGCAAACAGGAUUAGAUACCCGAGUAGUC